rnacentral:rRNA from 1 species
AUUGAACGCUGGCGGCAGGCCUAACACAUGCAAGUCGAGCGGAUGAAGGGAGCUUGCUCCUGGAUUCAGCGGCGGACGGGUGAGUAAUGCCUAGGAAUCUGCCUGGUAGUGGGGGAUAACGUCCGGAAACGGGCGCUAAUACCGCAUACGUCCUGAGGGAGAAAGUGGGGGAUCUUCGGACCUCACGCUAUCAGAUGAGCCUAGGUCGGAUUAGCUAGUUGGUGGGGUAAAGGCCUACCAAGGCGACGAUCCGUAACUGGUCUGAGAGGAUGAUCAGUCACACUUGAACUGAGACACGGUCCCGACCCCUACGGGAGGCAGGAGUGGGGAAUAUUGGACAAUGGGCGAAAGCCUGAUCCAGCCAUGCCGCGUGUGUGAAGAAGGUCUUCGGAUUGUAAAGCACUUUAAGUUGGGAGGAAGGGCAGUAAGUUAAUACCUUGCUGUUUUGACGUUACCAACAGAAUAAGCACCGGCUAACUUCGUG